rnacentral:rRNA from 1 species
AGCGAACGCUGGCGGCAGGCCUAACACAUGCAAGUCGAACGAAGUCUUCGGACUUAGAGGCGGACGGGUGAGUAACACGUGGGAACGUGCCUUUAGGUUCGGAAUAACUCAGGGAAACUUGUGCUAAUACCGAAUGUGCCCUUCGGGGGAAAGAUUUAUCGCCUUUAGAGCGGCCCGCGUCUGAUUAGCUAGUUGGUGAGGUAAAGGCUCACCAAGGCUACGAUCAGUAGCUGGUCUGAGAGGAUGACCAGCCACAUUGGGACUGAGACACGGCCCAAACUCCUACGGGAGGCAGCAGUGGGGAAUCUUGCGCAAUGGGCGAAAGCCUGACGCAGCCAUGCCGCGUGGAUGAUGAAGGUCUUAGGAUUGUAAAGUCCUUUCACCGGUGAAGAUAAUGACGGUACCCGGAGAAGAAGCCCCGGCUAACUUCGUGCCAGCCGCCGCGGUAACAC